GACGAACGCUGGCGGCGUGCCUAAUACAUGCAAGUAGAACGCUGAAGGAGGAGCUUGCUUCUCCGGAUGAGUUGCGAACGGGUGAGUAACGCGUAGGUAACCUGCCUGGUAGCGGGGGAUAACUAUUGGAAACGAUAGCUAAUACCGCAUAACAGUAGAUGUUGCAUGACAUUUGCUUAAAAGGUGCAAUUGCAUCACUACCAGAUGGACCUGCGUUGUAUUAGCUAGUUGGUGAGGUAACGGCUCACCAAGGCGACGAUACAUAGCCGACCUGAGAGGGUGAUCGGCCACACUGGGACUGAGACACGGCCCAGACCCCUACGGGAGGCAGCAGUAGGGAAUCUUCGGCAAUGGACGGAAGUCUGACCGAGCAACGCCGCGUGAGUGAAGAAGGUUUUCGGAUCGUAAAGCUCUGUUGUAAGAGAAGAACGAGUGUGAGAGUGGAAAGUUCACACUGUGACGGUAUCUUACCAGAAAGGGACGGCUAACUACGUG
rnacentral:rRNA from 1 species